rnacentral:lncRNA from 1 species
GGAGGAGAUGUAGAGGUAGAGGAGGAGAUAUAGAGGAGGAGAUAUAGAGGAGGAGAUAUAGAGGAGGAGAUGUAGAGGAGGAGAUGUAGAGGAGGAGAUAUAGAGGAGGAGAUAUUGAGGAGGAGAUAUAGAGGAAGAGAUAUAAAGGUAGAGGGGGAGAAAUAGAGGAGGAGAUAUAGAGGAGGAGAUGUAGAGGUAGAGGAGGAGAUAUAGAGGUAGAGGAGGAGAUGUAGAGGUAGAGGAGGAGAUAUAGUGGUGGAGAUAUAGAGGUAGAGAUAUAGAGUAGGAGAUAUAGAGGAGGAGAUAUAGAGGUGGAUUAGGAGAUGUAGAGGAGGAGAUAUAGAGGAGGAGAUGUAGAGGAGGAGAUGUAGAGGAGGAGAUGUAGAGGAGGAGAUGUAGAGGAGGAGAUAUAGAGGAGGAGAUAUAGAGGAGGAGAUGUAGAGAAGGAGAUGUAGAGGAGGAGAUGUAGAGGUAGAGGAGGAGAUAUAGAGGUGGAGGAGGAGAUAUAGAGGAGGAGAUGUAGAGGUAGAGGAGGAGAUGUAGUGGUAGAGGAGGAUAUAUAGAGGUGGAGGAGGAGAUGUGGAGGAGGAGAUAUUGAGGAGGAGGAGGAGAUGCAGAGGUAGAGGAGG